UGGGGAAUAUUGCACAAUGGGCGAAAGCCUGAUGCAGCAACGCCGCGUGAGUGGUGAAGGUCUUCGGAUUGUAAAGCUCUGUCUUUUGGGACGAUAAUGACGGUACCAAAGGAGGAAGCCACGGCUAACUACGUGCCAGCAGCCGCGGUAAUACGUAGGUGGCGAGCGUUGUCCGGAUUUACUGGGCGUAAAGGGUGCGUAGGCGGAUGUUUAAGUGAGAUGUGAAAUACCCGGGCUUAACUUGGGUGCUGCAUUUCAAACUGGAUAUCUAGAGUGCAGGAGAGGAGAAUGGAAUUCCUAGUGUAGCGGUGAAAUGCGUAGAGAUUAGGAAGAACACCAGUGGCGAAGGCGAUUCUCUGGACUGUAACUGACGCUGAGGCACGAAAGCGUGGGUAGCAAACAGGAUUAGAUACCCUGGUAGUCCACGCCGUAAACGAUGAGUACUAGGUGUAGGAGGUAUCGACCCCUUCUGUGCCGCAGUAAACACAUUAAGUACUCCGCCUGGGAAGUACGAUCGCAAGAUUAAAAC
rnacentral:rRNA from 1 species